AUUGAACGAUGGCGGCAGGCCUAACACAUGCAAGUCGAACGAGUGGCGGACGGGUGAGUAAUGUCUGGGAAACUGCCUGAUGGAGGGGGAUAACUACUGGAAACGGUAGCUAAUACCGCAUACCAUCGGAUGUGCCCAGAUGGUAUUAGCUAGUAGGGGGGGUAAAGGUUCAACUAGGCGACGAUCCCUAGCUGGUCUGAGAGGAUGACCAGCCACACGGGAACUGCGCCACGGUCCAGACUCCUACGGGAUGCAGCAGUGGGGAAUAUUGCACAAUGGGCGCAAGCCUGAUGCAGCCAUGCCGCUUGUAUGAAGAAGGCCGUCGGUUUUUAAAGUACUUUCAGCGGGGAGGCGUUACCCGCAGAAGAAGCACCGGCUAACUCCGUGCCAGCAGCCGCGGUAAUUC
rnacentral:rRNA from 1 species